rnacentral:rRNA from 1 species
AACGAACGCUGGCGGCAGGCUUAACACAUGCAAGUCGAGCGCCCCGCAAGGGGAGCGGCAGACGGGUGAGUAACGCGUGGGAAUCUACCCAACCCUACGGAAUAACGCAUGGAAACGUGUGCUAAUACCGUAUACGCCCUUUUGGGGAAAGAUUUAUCGGGGAUGGAUGAGCCCGCGUUGGAUUAGCUAGUUGGUGGGGUAAAGGCCUACCAAGGCGACGAUCCAUAGCUGGUCUGAGAGGAUGAUCAGCCACGUUGGGACUGAGACACGGCCCAAACUCCUACGGGAGGCAGCAGUGGGGAAUAUUGGACAAUGGGCGCAAGCCUGAUCCAGCCAUGCCGCGUGAGUGAUGAAGGCCCUAGGGUUGUAAAGCUCUUUCACCGGAGAAGAUAAUGACGGUAUCCGGAGAAGAAGCCCCGGCUAACUUCGUGCCAGCAGCCGCCGUAA